CAAUAGCGUAUAUUAAAGUUGUUGCGGUUAAAAAGCUCGUAGUUGGAGUUCUGCCAGGUGCCGCCUGUCCGCCCCAGUGGUGAGUACGUGGCGCGCAUUUGGCCCUUUCAAGGGGAGCGUAUCUGCACUUUAUUGUGUGGUGCGGGAUCCUUGACUUUUACUUUGAGGAAAUAGGAGUGUUCCAAGCAGGCUCUCGUCGUGCACAGCUCAGCAUGGAAUAAUAGCAUUGGACCUCGAUUCUAAGCUGUUGGUUGCCAGAAGCGAGGUAAUGAUGAAGAGGGAUAGUUGGGGGCAUUCGUAUUUAACUGUCAGAGGUGAAAUUCUUGGAUUUAUGAAAGACGAACUUCUGCGAAAGCAUUUGCCAAGGAUGUUUUCAUUAA
rnacentral:rRNA from 1 species